rnacentral:rRNA from 1 species
GAUGAACGCUGGCGGCGUGCCUAAUACAUGCAAGUCGAGCGAACAGACGAGGAGCUUGCUCCUCUGACGUUAGCGGCGGACGGGUGAGUAACACGUGGAUAACCUACCUAUAAGACUGGGAUAACUUCGGGAAACCGGAGCUAAUACCGGAUAAUAUAUUGAACCGCAUGGUUCAAUAGUGAAAGACGGUUUUGCUGUCACUUAUAGAUGGAUCCGCGCCGCAUUAGCUAGUUGGUAAGGUAACGGCUUACCAAGGCAACGAUGCGUAGCCGACCUGAGAGGGUGAUCGGCCACACUGGAACUGAGACACGGUCCAGACUCCUACGGGAGGCAGCAGUAGGGAAUCUUCCGCAAUGGGCGAAAGCUUGGCGGAGCAACGCCGCGUGAGUGAUGAAGGUCUUCGGAUCGUAAAACUCUAUUAUUAGGGAAGAACAAAUGUGUAAGUAACUAUGCACGUCUUGACGGUACCUAAUCAGAAAGCCACGGCUAACUACGUG